UAAUAUGAUGAAUAAGAGCAUUGCUCGAAAUAACCCAGCUCGUCGAAUGCCUCAUUUUUUUUUAAAACUCACGUAGAGGUCAUCAUGAGAGCAAAAUUCCUAUCUGAUAUC
rnacentral:snoRNA from 1 species